UGGGGAAUAUUGCACAAUGGGCGCAAGCCUGAUGCAGCCAUGCCGCGUGUAUGAAGCAGGCCUUCGGGUUGUAAAGUACUUUCAGCGGGCAGGAAGGCGAUAAGGUUAAUAACCUUGUCGAUUGACGUUAACCGCAGAAGAAGCACCGGCUAACUCCGCGCCAGCAGCCGCGGUAAUACGGAGGGUGCAAGCGUUAAUCGGAAUUACUGGGCGUAAAGCGCACGCAGGCGGUCUGUCAAGUCGGAUGUGAAAUCCCCGGGCUCAACCUGGGAACUGCAUUCGAAACUGGCAGGCUAGAGUCUUGUAGAGGGGGGUAGAAUUCCAGGUGUAGCGGUGAAAUGCGUAGAGAUCUGGAGGAAUACCGGUGGCGAAGGCGGCCCCCUGGACAAAGACUGACGCUCAGGUGCGAAAGCGUGGGGAGCAAACA
rnacentral:rRNA from 1 species